rnacentral:snoRNA from 1 species
CGAGUGUCUGUGAUGAGACUCCACUGAUUGCUGCAUUGCACUGAUUGGGCUGUGUGGAAACCAACCUUGGAGAGCUGAGCACUCG